AUGCAUAAGAGUGGAGAGGGUUGUCUCUUCGAAACUCCGGAUAAACCAUUGACGGCAACGAUGCUGUCAAGAUUACGAUCCGCACACCCUGGGUUGCUUAUAUCAGCUAUAUUUAUUCUAUACAUUCCAACUUCUUACUGCUCAAAAUGUGAUUACACGGUAUACGGAAAGGAUGACGCACCAGAGUAUGAUUUCAUAUCCUCCUUCAACAACUUUAAGCGAGUGAUCGGGGUGAGGAUUGACAGGAGGAGCGGUACCCAGGUGGGACAGACAUCCUACGAGUUCAGGAGGAGAGCGGAGCGGGGGGACUUGAUCAUUCCAACAAGAAAUUUGUUUUCGGACGGGUUUCCGUCGGAGUUCUCUCUAUCGGUUACCUUGAAGCUGGCCAGUGUAACGAGGCGCGAGUCAUGGAACCUGAUCGACAUCACGAACCCCCAGGGCGAGACAGACUUCGCUGUGCGCUUUGUUGGGGAGCUACGACAAAUUCAUCUCUUGUACAGGGACAAGGUUCUCAAUACGCUAACAACGGUCGAAUUCGACAAAAAAGACACGCGAAAUGUGUUUACAAAGGGAUGGCACAAGAUGCAGAUUAGCGUUCAAAAAACUGAGGCCUCUCUGUAUAUUGACUGCACAAGGAUACAGACUGUCCAGAUGACGUCAUCUGAUGUCAGCAACAUAGGGUACAUGACCGUCGCUAAAUCAAUGACUUCCAAACACACCACACCAAAGUUUUACCUGCAAUGGCUAGCUAUGCACUGUGAUCCCACCAAGCCCUCCAGGGACAGUUGUGAGGAGUUGGAGGAUAUUGACGACAGCGAUUCUCAAACAUACAAAGAUAUCAUGUUGGCAGACAAGCAACAACGUGGAGGAUCUAAAUGUCCCACCCAAUGUCCGCCCGGAAAAAACGGAAUCCCAGGAAAACAAGGAGUUUCCGGUCUUCCCGGCAAACCAGGAACCCCCGGACAAGAUGGACUUCCGGGAGAAAGAGGACCGGCAGGAAAAGACGGAAACGACGGACGACCUGGAGAGCCCGGUAAACCCGGACUGCUAGGAUUUCAGGGUCAGCCCGGAGAGAGGGGAGAACGAGGCUUGAAUGGAAAGGACGGAAGCGCCGGAGAGCCUGGCAAGCCAGGAAAAGAGGGAAGUGUUGGACCAAGAGGACUGCAGGGAGAAGAGGGACCACGGGGAGAAAGGGGAGAAACUGGUUCCCCCGGCCCUGCCGGACCCCCCGGAGAAAGCGUUCAAGGACCUGAAGGAGUUGAAGGUCCCCAGGGACCCCCAGGUCAACCAGGACCUCUGGGACCACAGGGAGUUCCCGGGCAACAAGGCAAUCCCGGCAAGGACGGUAAACCAGGAGAGAGGGGGGAGAAGGGAGACAGCGGUAUGCCUGGUCUACCGGGGGCACAAGGGGCCCAAGGUUUGCAGGGUGUUCCAGGACUCCCCGGCCCACCGGGCGCAUCGAUUACAUCUGCUGAUGGGAAAGCCGGCAAUGUUCAACAAGUGCAGGGACCUCCCGGGCCGGAGGGUCCCCAGGGGAUUCAAGGCAACGCCGGGUUACCUGGUUUGCCCGGAGAGAAAGGAAGUCAGGGUCUAAGAGGGGACAGGGGGGAGUCCGGAGAGCGGGGAGAACAGGGGCCGUCCGGAAACGAUGGGAGACCAGGAGUUGAUGGAAUGCCAGGAGCGGCCGGAAUCCCCGGAAGAGACGGGAAAAUGGGACCAAAGGGCGACUCAGGGGCGGACGGAAUCCCCGGGAAAGACGGAGUUCCGGGAAAACACGGUAAACAUGGCGAACGUGGAGAGAAAGGAGAGCCUGGAGAACCGGGACAACCUGGGAAACCCGGCCCCCCGGGACCUGCAUACUCCCCGUUCAUGAGUGACGAUCCGAACGCAAUCCUGGAUUAUGAUUACAAAUACAGAGGCGAACAGGGAAUAAAUGGACAGCCAGGACCCCCAGGAAAGGACGGACGCUCCGGAGUUCCCGGUAGCCCCGGGAUACCAGGGGAGCCCGGACAGCCCGGGAGACCGGGAGAAAUGGGGGAUCAAGGUGACCCAGGAGAUGUGGGACCAAGAGGGUUACCGGGAGUUCCCGGACUGAAAGGUAGCCAUGGCGACCCAGGCAUGGACGGCAUGCAGGGAGAUCAAGGAGUGGCAGGUGCCCCGGGUCCUCGCGGGGAGCCAGGAAAAGACGGAAGACCGGGACAACCAGGGACUCAAGGAAUAUCCGGUCCUAUGGGACCUAUUGGUCCGAUUGGACAACCCGGACCUCCUGGUCCCCCCGGACCUCCAGGACCUUCGUUUGAUGUGAAAUCUAUAAUUGGCGGUGGUAUGUCAGAUAGCAGCAUGUUUGGUCCAAGUGGUGCCCCGGGCCCCUCAGGUGCCCCCGGACUCACAGGAAUGCCAGGAGAGCGUGGGCCAUCGGGAGAGCGUGGCACGCCUGGGUCCACGGGUGCCCCCGGAGUUCCUGGUAUUUCCGGCGCCCCGGGCCAACAAGGACCACCGGGUCACAGAGGUCAACCUGGAAUGCCGGGAAAACCAGGACUACCAGGACGCAUGAUUCCAGAGUCUGAGAUCAGGGAGCUUUGUAUGAGACUACUGAGAGAAAACUUUGAUGAAUUGGUCGCCGGACUUCGAGGACCGCCCGGGCCCCCGGGCGUUGGGAAACCAGGAGCUCAGGGAUCUCCAGGCCGGGUGGGCGCUCAAGGUGAGCGUGGGUUACCUGGACCAACGGGUGAGCGUGGUUAUGCCGGCAUGCCAGGACUUCCAGGCCCCAUGGGACCUCAAGGUCCUGCGGGACCUGAGGGUGUGAAAGGAGACAGGGGAGAAAUUGGGGAAGGAAUUCAGGGCAAACAAGGGAACCCUGGAAUCCCAGGUCCUCCUGGACCUCCAGGCGAGGGGGUUAUGGGUCGCCCUGGAGAAAGGGGAAACCCUGGAGCCCAUGGUCAGCCAGGCAGUGCCGGUCCCCCAGGAAAAACAGGACCCCCCGGAUAUUGUGAAUACUGUAACUUUGCAUCCGGUAGAAGAUCUGGAGAUUAUAUACAACUUGGUCCAGGCCGAUCAAACACCAAAGGCUAAGGAGACUUACAGCACAUUUGUGAAUUCCAUUACAUUUGUGAUAUCAUUCAUUUGUAUUCCUCAUACAUUCUUCACCCCUCAUCUUUGUGUACACCAGUCUUUGUAUGGCUUUUCUUCAUGUAUUUAAUUUGCUUUUAAUCCUGUGAUGUGCCUAUGUGAUUGAUUUAAUUGCUGUAGCCAAUUCAUAGACUGCUUGAUUUUGUAGUUAGAUUGUUGAUACUGCAAGGCCAGUACACAAAUUCAGGUCCACCACCAAAUUAUUAUGCUGAAGGUUUUUUUUUUUAGUUUAACUUAUGAAGUGGCAUAAUCAAAAUAUAUUUAAAUUUAUUUUCCGUUUAGAUAACAGGUUUGAAUUUCUAGAAUUUUUAUACUUUUUAUUUCAGCUAUUUGGUGUAUAUUCGUUUUUUAAAUCAUGUGCCAUAUGUGUAUUAUGUCAGCUGUGCCAUAUAUUCCUCUGUUAUAGAGAUGUUAAUAUCUUACACUGAGAUCUGUUUUGUUACAUUUAUGACAUUAAGGUUAAAGGUCACCUUGAUUCAUUAUGCAUGUGUGUGAAAUAUUCUAUUUUGAUAAAAAAAAAAAGUAUCUGUAAAUAAAUGAAUACAACGAACACUUUACCAAAUGAUGCUAGAUUUCUUAAUAUUUAUAAAUUAUACUGUACUAAUAUACAAGAUCUCCUUUUCAAUAAAACUGCUAAUUUUAUCACUCUUGUCUGUUAUAUUUGGACAUGUUAAAACAAUAGUGCAAUACAUGUACUGCUAUUGAGGUACAGAUUGAUCUGGUUUAAAAAACUACAUUGAUUGUGAGAAUAUGUGUACAUUGAAGUACAGAUACUUUUUUAUGUUCAAACUUUAGGAUCCAGAUAUGGUUUAAAGCCAAACAAUUUAAACAGGAAAAUAUCACAACUUUUUUCCUUUCAAGAAUACAGAUUUGCUCAAAAAACAUGGUUGAUAAUGUAGUUACAUUAUCAAAAUUAAACAAAAUUAUACAGUAAAUGAAUUUAUCAUUUUUGUUUAUUAAUUUUUCUCAAAUGAUACAAAAAGAUCUGUUGCCAAUGGCCAGUAUAUAGCAGUCGUGGCCAUUCUAGAUAGACUGGUGUUACAAGGCUCAAUCAUCCUAUUUGGCACAAAACAAAACAAACUCCUGCAAUACACACACAGACACACAACCACGCCCAUUCAGUACACAUCACACAAUACACAUCCUCAUACAAUGUACACAAAGUUCUUCAUCAUUUCUUGGCGGCUUUCACUGUAUCUUUGGGUUUGUCUGCCGAGAUAUUUUCUAUAACAUAUUCUUCACUCCUGUGAGAAAAUUAAGAGGAGAUAGAG
rnacentral:misc_RNA from 1 species